rnacentral:tRNA from 1 species
AAAAAUGAUUGUGUUAUUACUUACAAUAAUAAAGUCCGUUAGGCAUUUUUA